UUGCAACACGUGCAAUGUUUACUGUUCAUCUAAUACACAAGUGUCUACAUCUGUGUGCUUACUGUUAAAUUUGUUAUAUUAUAAUGAGCUUUAGUUACCAUGUUGCAUGCAUGAACCGAAUUAUAAUUAUGUUGCAUGUACAGUUUGUCAUACUACAGGUAUCUGGAUUACAAGCCUGCAUGUUCAGUGUUGUUGUUAGCUAAUUGAGUGCAAUUACUUUAAUGCAUGCAGCAUCUGAAAGCCAUCUCACCAUACGGAGUGAAACAUUAUGUUGCAUGUUCUUUUAAUAAGUAGAUCACAGGAGUGGAAUAACUUAUAUUAGCGAUGGGCCUGAAUACAAAUCCUGAUCCUAGUCCCCCAUGAACUUUGUGGGGAUAAGGUAUUGAACCCUGCUCACAGUCCAGAUCCAGAUCUUGUAGUUGGACCCUACCUUCAUAAGGUGCUGAACCAAAACCAUAAAUACACACUUUUCCAUCCAUUCCCCCCGCCCUGACUUUUGGAGAGGAGGUAUUCAAAAUCCAAAUCCAAGGUACAGAACUAGGCUCAGGCCCACCACUAAUUUAUAUUGAUGACAUUUCAAUUCAUAUAGUAUUUCUUUACAUAUUUUGUAUUCUUUACAGAAACUUAUUGCCAGCAAAGAUCACCCAGAAGGAAGGAAGACAUUGGGAGGGAAAAAUGGCUCCACUAUAGCUUAUGAAGAAAUUUAGAUCUAUCACACAUAGAGAGAAUCCCACAUUGCAAGAAACAAACUGAGAAGCUGAAGGGAAGAAAAAGAGGAAUGGCUUUAUAUCUUGUUGUCUAAGUUUACCACAAUUUGUUUGCCAUAUUCAUCACCACCAGUUUAUUCUAUAAAUCCUCCCCUCUGUUCCAUGCUUUCUGUGACCUGGAAUAAGUAGGCUAGUUCACAUUCCUCUUCUGUGAGUUCACAUCAUUAGAUCCUUUCACCCCUUGUACAAGCAGCUCUGCUCCAGGAUUAUUCAUUGCCCCAUUAUAUCACGAGACCUGUUCACCGUCCUUUCAUCAUUCUCUUCCAUACUCUCAGUUUAUGUUCAUUAGCUACUUUUUCAUCCUCACGUCUAACAGACCCCAUCCGUUUGCCUCUCUGCCUUUAAAGCACCACUAACUAUAAUAUGUGAGCACUAGCCUUUAAGGCUUCUUAAUCCUCCCUUAACCACUUCAAACACUUCAAAUUUACUGUGCCUGUUUUGUAAAUGAACAAAUAUUCUGAUUAUUAAAUAUAUUUCUGAAAGUUUA